GACGUUGAUAGGUCGGGUGUGUAAGCGCAGCGAUGCGUUGAGCUAACCGAUACUAAUGAACCGUGAGGCUUAACCUUACAACGCCGAAG
rnacentral:rRNA from 2 species